rnacentral:rRNA from 1 species
UACGGAGGGGGCGAGCGUUAUUCGGAAUUAUUGGGCAUAAAGGGCGCGUAGGCGGCUGAACAAGUCAAAGGUGAAAUCCCUCGGCUCAACUGAGGAACUGCCUUUGAAACUGUUCGGCUUGAGGCCGGGAGGGGGUAGCGGAAUUCCCAGUGUAGCGGUGAAAUGCGCAGAUAUCGGGAAGAACACCCGUGGCGAAGGCGGUUCUCUGGGACGGUACUGACGCUGAGACGCGAAAGCGUGGGGAGCGAACAGG